rnacentral:rRNA from 1 species
UACGUAGGGUGCGAGCGUUAAUCGGAAUUACUGGGCGUAAAGCGUGCGCAGGCGGUUUUGUAAGUCAGAUGUGAAAUCCCCGGGCUUAACCUGGGAACUGCGUUUGAAACUACAAGGCUAGAGUGUGGCAGAGGGGGGUGGAAUUCCACGUGUAGCAGUGAAAUGCGUAGAGAUGUGGAGGAAUACCGGUGGCGAAGGCGGCAUCCUGGACCGGCAUUGACGCUGAGGAGCGAAAGCUAGGGGAGCAAACGGG